UUCCAAGACUUUAACCACCACCAUCAAGACAAACAGCAUCUUGAAGAUUUCUUCCAUAAAAUGUCCAAUGUCAACGCAUCCAUUUACCAG